rnacentral:tRNA from 1 species
GAGGAUAGAGCUCAGUGGUAGAGUGCUUGCUUAGCAUGCACGAGGUCCUGGCUUCAAUCCCCAGUACCUUCA